AAUACAAAGACUUUUAGAACCUAGAUCUUGUUUAUGACACUGAGAAGCCUGUGAUUGGCUCUGUGCUCCAGAAACACGUGAAGAGAGGAUUUCCUAGAAUUAUAUCAUUUGCCAGCAGUUACGGGAAAAAUGAAAAUGAAGCCCAGCAAGACAAUGUGACCUUUUUUCCUGUCGUGCAUUCUAGUGGUUACCAAAGCAGGCUGGUGUUGCCUGCCACUCGGCACACCUGUCCCUGAGGGGAAGAAGAGAUUGAGCAGGGAACGACACAAGCCUGUUCCAGGAGAAAACGACAUUAACUUCACUGUAGGGCUCGAUUACACUGUACUAGUCUUCAGCUGCACUGUGACUGACUCAGCGCCGCGAGACAAGAUAGAUACACAGAUCACCAACCUAUACCUUGGAAACUUCAGCAGCGCCUCUACUGAAAGCGUCCAGGGUUUUUAGAUUUACAGGGAAAUGCUGUUUCUGUGAAAUUGAAGAGAGACUGAUUGUGUGUUCUUCAACAACCAGCAAUUCUUGGAGAUUAAUGUGAUUAGGGGAAAAUACCUAUACAAAUGUAUAGGUUAGUACUUUCCUUGAAGAACAGUUCAAAUAGAAAUUUCCAGAAUAUUAUUCCUUGUUGUUUUUGUAUACCUUAAAAUACACAUUAAAGCCUC
ensembl:lincRNA